AAGACUAUACUUUCAGGGAUCCUUUUUGUAGUAUGUUAUUAGAGAAGUUCCUCUGAUUACAUAGAGUACCAGAGUGCCAGAAACCAUGAGGAGCUGAGCAUUUUCUUGAGUGUCUUCUGAGCCAAAGCUGGUUCUAGGUAUUUCUUUAUGAUAACUACAUUUUGCCAAUGAUGAUUGUCUUUGAUCUCUCUGGAGAGUAAGAGGGAAAGAACACUGCCUGAGUGUU
rnacentral:snoRNA from 1 species